rnacentral:rRNA from 1 species
UUGACAGCCAUCGGCGUAAAGAGUGGUUAGGGAAUUUUCAAACUAAAGCCGAACACCCCCUAGGCUGUUAUACGCACCUGGGAGUACGAAGCCCUCCAACGAAA